UCUUCACCACGACUGACCGAUACAAAGCGCGCAGAGCAAGCAGCAGCCGCUUCACCGCUGCGCCUGUCGAUCUCUCAUUCCCUCCUGCCCUCACUUGCAAACAAGACCCCAAAAUACUUAAACUCCUCCACUUGGGACAAGAUCUCCUCCCCGACCCGGAGAGAGAACUCCACCCUUUUCCGACUGAUUUUCAUCCCAACCACUUCAUACUCAGCUGCGAAACGCUCAAGUGAGAGUUGAAGGGCCCUGCUUGAAAGAGCCAACAGUCCCACAUCAUCUGCAAUAAGCAGAGAUGUAAUACUGAGGCCACCAAAAUGGACCCCCAUCAACACUUACACUGCGCCUAGAAAUUGCCAAUGUCCGUAAUGUUUAUGAACAGAAUCGAUGACAAAGGGCAGCCUUGGCGGAGUCCAACCCUCACUGGAAACGAUUCUGACUUACUGCCGGUAAUGUGAACCAAAUUCUGACAUCUGUGGUGGAGGGACCAAAGUGCCCGCAUCAGGGGACUCGGUACCUCAUACUCCUGAAGCAAUCAUAUAAUGUAAUAUCGUACUCAAAUGUGUAAUGCAUAGAUUUUUAUUCUGGGUGAGGGAAUUUUCGUUUGACAGAAGUCAAUAGAUGGCAAUACUUACUGUAAUUAUGUUUCAUUGAACAAUUAUAAUAUUUAAGUCUGGUUUAAAAAAUAUGAACAGGUAUAUACAUUUGUGUUAUUACAGUUGCUGAAACAUAUAGAUGUUGCUUGAAAUUUAUCAUGCUCCCCUCAAAACAGACCGCAGAGUAAAAUAAAAGUUAAAGGCUGAGCAAUUUUAGUUUAUCGUUGGCCAUGAAGGGGGGAGGGGCUGUUCCCAGCUCCAAACCCUCGCAGUUGCACUGUUUGAACCUAGUUUAUUCAGCUCCCCUCCCCCACACUAGUUUGAGCACGUGAUCAACUAGGAGCGCGGUUCAUACAGCAGCAACAAAGCUUUGCAAGAAGAGUUGAGUGUUGCAGUCGUGUCCCCAGAAAAUCUAAUUCGUUUUUUUCUGCUUUGGACAUCGAAACUGUAUAAUACGAAUUGCAUCCAAUAAGUAAAUAAUAAUGAUGUUUCAUCACAAUUCCAUAUUAGCAUUUGGGAAUAAUGUUGCUUUCAGAACAAUUACAAUAUUUUAAGUCGUUUUUAAAAUAUGUGUGUGUGUGUAUAUACUGUAUAUAUAUACAGUAUGUAUAUACACACACGUAUAUAUGCUGUGCUCAUUUUAGGAGUACAUGACAUUGGUGUAAACAAGAGUUCAUAAAAUAUGUUGAUAUUGCUUGACAUUUACUAUGCCCCACUUCAAAACGGACCUCAGAGGAAAAGUGAAGGAGUUUUGGUUAUGAAGGGGCGGGGCUGUUUUCACACCCCAAAACGUCACAGUUACGUUGCAGGAAACGAGUUUCUACAGCUACCCUCCCCCACAUCACACUCGCUGACCAUCAAUUAGGAAACGCGCGCUUUGCUACCUGCACAAAAGGAAGGCGUUGAGAAGAGUGAGCGUACGAGUCAGCAUCAUCGAGAAAACCCCAGAAAGUGACAAAUACUUCAGAAUUAAAGCAGAUGGACAAUCCCACUGAAGAUGGUAAUUAUUCUGACUCAGUCUUUUUGGAUCAGAUGAGGAAUACAAACCAACUAAGACAUCCUCUGAGUCGAGUGAUGACGAGGAGAUAUUCCAUCCAAAGGUAGAAAAAUUGUUCUCUUAUGAUACAUCCAGUGAAGACUCUACAAGUCAUCAGACAUAUGAAGCAGAGGAGCACAGUCACGUCUGCAAUUCGUAAAGAAGGGAAAAGCAUCUCUCCAGAAGAGGGAAGACUGAAUUGGAUGAUUCGAGUCCAGGAAAAAACCUUACACCCAAAGAGCAGGCAAAAUCUAAAUUGGAGAAAAAGACAAGGUCUCCCAGAGCAAAUUUGAGGAGACCAUGGAAUGAAGAAGAAAAGGCUGCUGUGGAAAAACACCUGGGGAGACUUAUAAAAGGGUGUCACGUGCCUGGUAAAGAACAAUGCACUGACUGCAAAAUGAAAGAGCCGCAGGCCUUGGCUCAAAGAACCUGUAAAGACGUAAAGAACUUCAAGAAAAGAUCUGCUUCUCGAGUUCUUCAUUUUUAAAUUUAAAUUUUCUUGCUGGAGUAUUUUUUUUUCAAUUCUUUUCUACUCUUCCUGAGCAGUGUUGU